rnacentral:rRNA from 1 species
CCUACGGGAGGCAGCAGUGGGGGAUAUUGGACAAUGGGGGAAACCCUGAUGCAGCGACGCCGCGUGAGUGAAGAAGUAUUUCGGUAUGUAAAGCUCUAUCAGCAGGGAAGAUAAUGACGGUACCUGAGUAAGAAGCCCCGGCUAACUACGUGCCAGCAGCCGCGGAAUA